GAAAAGAGAGAGAGAGAGAUAGCGAGAGAGAGAAAGAGAGUUUUGUGUUGAUGGGUUUGAACGAAAUUCAAGAAAUUGAAGACAAAGGAGGAAACUCAAAGCUUGACCAAGAGAUUCAACAAAUUGAAGAUUUUAGGUGGACAUCCGAGGCCUUACAUCGACUUAACACGCUGUGAGUAAACUAAGCAACAAGGAUAGAGAAAGCCUCGGAGUCUACCCCUGUCAGCCUUUUGAAGAGCUUCCGGAAUGGAGCAAGUUAGGCUCGAGUAGAGCCAAGAAAAUCCGCCCCUUAGCUUUGCCAGAGUUUUGUAUUUUGCUAAGUCUUAACGUAUAUGUGUGUGAGAUAUAUAAGAUAUGUGUAUAAAUUAUUAUUGUGUUUUAAUGUUUUAAUUAUUUUAGUCAUCAUGUAUGCACAAGCUCGAUGGACAUUGUUAUUUUUUUUGUUUUGCUUCCGCUUAAGGCCCCGAUAUAAUUAAAAUAUUUU